rnacentral:rRNA from 1 species
AACGAACGCUGGCGGCAUGCCUAACACAUGCAAGUCGAACGAAACCUUCGGGCCUAUUUGCGCACGGCUGCUUAACGCGUGGUAACCUGCCCUUAGGUUCGCAAUAACUCCCUGUAAGGUGUCUUAAUAACGCAUAAUGUCUUCCGACCAAAGAUCUAUGGCCUUUGGAUGGGCGCUGGUUGGUUUAGGUAGUUGGUAGGGUAAAAGCCUACCAAGGCGAUGUUCCAUGGCUGGUCGGUUAGCAUGACCAAGCAGGCUGGGCAUGAGACACGGGCCAGACUGCUACGGAGGGCAGCAGUAGAGAAUAUUAGACGAUGAGCGAAAGCGUAGUACAGCAGUGCCGCGGAAGUGAUGAAGGGCUUAGGAUUGUAAAGCUCUUUUUCCCGAAGUGAUAAUGACGGUACCGGGUAAAUAAGCUCCGGCUAACUACGUG